UUUUUUUUUUUAAGUUGCCAAUUAAUACACGUGCUAUGCUCUCACAAUUCUCCAUACCAAUACCCGAGCAGACUAAACAAGUAGCCUUCAUUCUCCGAGUUGAAUGUAUAAGGGCAAAUUAAUUGACGGUUGACCCAUGUAACCCUUCAGUAAGAAGGUUUGAGAAGAGAAGAAUCUGAAACCCUUAUCGAUAUAUAUGAUAAAAUUGCCGAAAGGCAAUGGUAACGCGGUUAAACACGUUAAGGUAACGAUAUAUAAGCAUUGUCGUAAAAGUUAAGGUAAGAGAACCAGAGAAUUUUGUCAAGCUAUCCCACGUGAAACCAGCUCAUAAACCAACCACACAUUUGUCAACUAGUAUCCCCA
rnacentral:lncRNA from 1 species